GAAUAGAUACCCCCGGGUAGUCCAUGCCGUAAACGUUUGGGAACUAGAUGUAGGGACUGUUCCACGGUUUUCUGUGUCGUAGCUAACGCAUUAAGUUCCCCCGCCUGGGGAGUACGGCCGCAGGGCUAAAACUCAAAGGAAUUGACGGGGGCCCGCACAAGCGGCGGAGCAUGCGGAUUAAUUCGAUUGCAACGCGAAGAACCUUACCAAGGUCUUGGACAUAUACGAGAACGGGCCAGAAAUGGUCAACUCUUUGGACACUCGUAAACAGGUGGUGCAUGGUUGUCGUCAGCUCGUGUCGUGAGAUGUUCGGUUAAGUCCGGCAACGAGCGCAACCCUCGUCCUAUGUUGCCAGCACGUUAUGGUGGGAACUCAUGGGAUACUGCCGUGGUCAACACGGUAGGAAGUGGGGAUGACGGUCAAAUCAUACAUGCCCCUUAUGUCUUGGGACUACACGCUAUGCUACAUGGCCGAUACGAAGGCUGCGAUACCGCGAGGUGAGCGAAUCCCGAAAAGUCGGUCUACGUUCGGAUUGGGUCUGCAACGUCGACCC
rnacentral:rRNA from 1 species